ACUUAAAACAUCUGAAGUUCAACAACAGCCUGUAAAAUAAUCGACAUCUUUAGUCACACAAUUAGUCACAUAUUUUGUUUGUUUUUGAAAAAUUUUAUUGUUAAGAGUUGAGACUCAUAAUCUAAAAAAUGUGCGUUAUUUUUAAUGCAAACAUUCAUAUUUAAGAUAAUUUUUUUCAAAGGAAUUAAAGAAUUCUAAUAUCUGUUUCCUUUCUUAUUAAGUCAACAAAUUAAUUUUAGUGAAACGAAACGAAUAAAACAUUUUUCGGAUUUUUAAAUGAAUCUAUUAAUAUAACCAAACCAAAGCAAAGAACCAAUUCGAUGAAGAUCUAAAUAAGCCUAUUGAAGAGCGAGUGGACUCAAAGGCCAUUCAAGCUGUGAGGCGGCGGUCAACAGCUUUUCGGCCUGGUCAAUAAAAAUGUUUUGCAUAUUAAGCAGCCCAAACCGAAAAGAAAAAUGUAAACAAUUGACGGCGAGACACCUCAACAAUACAAAAACCGAGCUCAUCUUUAGAAGAAGAAAAGACGGAAUCAUAAAAAAGAAACUUGAUGAGCUGCACUUUUUUUAGGCUAAGCUGCAGUCAGCUGCACCUGCCUUACAUUUAUUAUGACGAUAUAUAGUAUACUAUAUAUCUUUAGGUAUGCAAAUGGCUUUCAACGGAUGCAGCGUUUUGUUUGAUUUCUUUUUGUUUGCCCUAUCACAAUGCAGCGGUCAUAAUUUCCAAGGGCGGGAGAAAGAUUUCCCGGGUUGAGAAAGAAAAGGUAUUGACAGAUGGAGUGAAAGUGAUAAUGCCCAGCUGGCUUUGAGCCAAGAAUCCGGCGAUUAGACACGCGGUCAGCCAACUGAUCUUGGCUUUUACAUGCGAAUGCGGAAGAAGAUGGCAAAUGAAAUAACACAGAAAUAUUUUAAUUUCGAGAAAUUAAAUCAAAGGAAAUUUAUAGCCA